rnacentral:misc_RNA from 1 species
GAUCUCAAAUACAGAUUUCUGUUUGAACAGAUUCAAUUCAGAAAUUUGUUUACAAAAUUAAUAAAGUGUCUCCAACUUCCAGGAUUCUCACAACAUAAGAUUUUCCAAUUUUAUUCUUACGUUAACACAUGCAUAGUUACACAGAAUAUAUUCAUCCAAAUCCAACACUGAUUGAGAACAAUUUGUAGCAGGGUCCAAAACUAUGCAGGUAUUUGUAGGAGAAUAGUACCUCAUGAAAUCAGUCAAGCUUCACAUUUGAAUAAAGGAGGGUGUCUCGUUGGAUCGGCAUGUUAAAUAGAAAGUAGACCCCAAUGAGAGUUGAGAUAAGAAGAAUGAGAGCCGUUAUCAAUGCCAAGCUCCGCCUCACCAAUAGGAUCUCUAGAAUCACCAGUUCAGCUGGACCUUCUACUAGCCUCCGAGAGGAUUGAGUUGAAAACUUGAUGUCGAAAAUCGCUUCAGAGUCUCUCUUGGAUUCACUGGUAGACAAGAUGACUCCGACAAUUUUCCCUUCGUAAGUCUUUUGUAACAUUUCAAGUGACUUGGUUAGUGUUAUUUGAAACAGCUCUUCCGCCUUCUCAGUUACAUCCUCAGAGCCAUAUUCUUCUUUCAGUUCCUUUAUGCCAGUAAAGCGCCCAAUAAUUAACUCCGCGGGACUUGCAGGACUUCCGCUGAAAUCGUCAUGGAUUUCCGCUGCUCUGUUGAUGUUUCUGACCAAAGAGACUAGAUUUAGGGCAUAUUGCCUAUCUGCUUUCUUCGUCAUCUGCAAAUUUAAAGAGCCACCACUGCCCAAUGGAAGCUUCAACUCCCCAUCUAAUGGCUCUAUGGAGCCGGCAUAAGAUCCCCCCAACAAGCGCGUAAGUCCACCAAGUUGUUCCUCGGCACAAGCAGCGUCACAGUCAACACUCAUGUCUGCAUCCAAUGCUACAACUGAAACCUCAUCCUCAUUCGGAAGAACAAUAUCAGCCUUAGUCGAACCAACAACCUUGCUACCAAAAGCAUUCUCCGACAAGAAUGCAUUAUCUACUCCCGGAACUUCAAGCAUCAAAACCGCACGAGGUCUAUCGAAAGGAUUGGGCAUCAGAACCUCAUUCAACUUCGACGAAGAAUCGGUCGGUGGUGCGAAACCGAGCAAGACUGACACUGCCGCGGCGACUUCGUCCGGCGACAUCGAACUAGCCUCGACGGCGGUUCUCAGGAGAUUGUUGUUGCUGCGGAUGUAGCGAUGAUUGGAGUCGAAGAUGACGACGGAAUCAGCCCUAGCGUGGACGGAGAGCAGCGAGAUCGAUAUCAGGAGGAGGAGAUCGAGCUUCGUGGCGCGGAAAACCAUGGCGGGCGAUGCGGUGGCGGAAUCGAGAUCGGGAGGGAUUGAUGAGGGCGAGAUUUCGUGGUGGACUUGGUUUGAGAUGGUCCGCAGGGACACCUU